rnacentral:rRNA from 1 species
AGAGUUGAUCCUGGCUUAGGAUGAACGCUAGCGACAGGCUUAACACAUGCAAGUCGAGGGGCAGCACGGGAGUAGCAAUACAACUGGUGGCGACCGGCGCACGGGUGAGUAACGCGUAUGCAACCUACCUAUCAGAAGGGAAUAACCCGGCGAAAGUCGGACUAAUACCGCAUAAAACAGGGGCACCGCAUGGUGAUAUUUGUUAAAGAGAUUCGCUGAUAGAUGGGCAUGCGUUCCAUUAGGUAGUUGGUGAGGUAACGGCUCACCAAGCCGACGAUGGAUAGGGGAACUGAGAGGUUGGUCCCCCACACUGGUACUGAGACACGGACCAGACUCCUACGGGAGGCAGCAGUGAGGAAUAUUGGUCAAUGGGCGGGAGCCUGAACCAGCCAAGUCGCGUGAAGGAAGAAGGAUCUAUGGUUCGUAAACUUCUUUUGCAGGGGAAUAAAGUGCAGGACGUGUCCUGUUUUGUAUGUACCCUGAGAAUAAGGAUCGGCUAACUCCGUGCCAGCCGCUGC